CUUUUGUUGUAAAAGCACCCGGUACCAGAUAUUCAAUUGCAGUUGAACCUGACACUGGCAAUCUACGAACCGUUCUAAAAUGAAGAAAGCUAUCGUUAUCCUCCUCGUUGUUCUGAUUGCUUUCCAAAUGGCGGAUGCGCAAGGUUCAGUACCAGUAAACCAGCCUUGCUACCACACUCAUCAAUGCGCCCGCAAAAUGAGGUGUUGUCUACGCAAUGGUUACCAAUGCACACCUCCGUGGUUAGGAUCCGGAUGUUACGAGGAGAAGAUCUAGAAGCUCUAUUACCUUGGCGAUUAGAAACAACAUCGUUAAAUGUGAGAAGUAAUACAGAUGUAAUAUUUUGUUUAUUUCAACAUAUUAAAAUGGAUAGUGCCUUUUUUCAUUCUCCAUGAAAAAACUGUUUGGACUCUGUCGAAAGUGAAAUAUCAUGAAUAAAAGCAAAUGGAUCGCCAGUAA